UGGGAGACAGUACAGCCUGUCAGGCAUGUUCACGGCUUAAAUGACCCACAAGUUCAUUGUGAUCAAUGCAGCCACAGGGCUCCAUUGAUGAGGUGGUUAUCGUGUAUCUGAACAACUGAAUGGUUGAUGUGUGGUAUUUUUGCUUAUCUCGUGAUCUCGACAAAACGUAUAGUGAUCAUGAGUUAAAUAAGUUGUGAUCUCGACAUAAUGAUGGAAUAGUUUUUUGGUUCAUAUGUUCUCUCCUGACUUCGGUACAUAUCAGUUCAAGCUAAAACUUGGAUUGAAAUCUGUGCCUUGCGCGCAGCAAUAGAUAUAUUUUACUUUUGUAAGUAAAUCGGCGGUUAGUUAGGGAGAAGAACCUCAAGGAAAUAUUUGCUAAUUAGCUAACAUUAGCUAACUUGUGUUAGCUGGCUAAUUUUAGCUAGCUUACAUUAGCUCUCUGGCUAAUCCUUCAGGGACAUGGAAUUUUUGAGCUUGGAUGGAAGAAUGGAGGACGGAACAAAGGGAAGCAGGACAGAAGUUGUGCAGCCUGCUGAUUAAGAAAUGUGCUGAAACCUUGUGUCCUGAUUCAACAGACACCAACCUUGAGUGAUGACCAAUGAUUUAAUGUGCCACUUCAAUAUGAAGGGACAGAGGAGCAAACAUGCCUUUGCUACCACUCUUGUGUGAUCCAUUGUAGUUGUAAGUGUCAUGAAAAUCCAGAAAACUCAGGAGGUUGAUGAGUUUGCGGGCACUCUGGAAAGACCUAAAAUUUACCCUGACCGCCGUGGUGGAGGAGGACGCAAAAUCUGACCCAUCACACCAGUCUUCAAGAGGGCCACUAUGCUUCAGGUCGCCUUCUGUGAUCAGAGAACCUUGAUGAGGAUCUACCCCAUCACACAACUCUUAAUUUUUUAUUUAUUAUCUAACUAGGCAAGUCAGUUGAGAACAAAUUCUUAUUUUCAAUGACGGCCUAGGAACAGUGGGAUAACUGCCUUGUUCAGGGGCAGAACGACAGAUUUGUACCUUGUAAGCUCGGGGAUUCAAACUUGUAACCUUUCGGUAGUAGACUGGUUGCAAGUUUGAUUCCCCGAGCUGACAAGGUACAAAUCUGCCGCCCCAAUUAAUCAAAUAAAACUAUGGGCAUUUAUA